GAUGAACGCUGGCGGCGUGCCUAAUACAUGCAAGUCGAGCGAACGGACGAGAAGCUUGCUUUUCUGAUGUUAGCGGCGGACGGGUGAGUAACACGUGGAUAACCUACCUAUAAGACUGGGAUAACUUCGGGAAACCGGAGCUAAUACCGGAUAAUAUUUUGAACCGCAUGGUUAAAAAGUGAAAGACGGUCUUGCUGUCACUUAUAGAUGGAUCCGCGCUGCAUUAGCUAGUUGGUAAGGUAACGGCUUACCAAGGCAACGAUGCAUAGCCGACCUGAGAGGGUGAUCGGCCACACUGGAACUGAGACACGGUCCAGACUCCUACGGGAGGCAGCAGUAGGGAAUCUUCCGCAAUGGGCGAAAGCCUGACGGAGCAACGCCGCGUGAGUGAUGAAGGUCUUCGGAUCGUAAAACUCUGUUAUUAGGGAAGAACAUAUGUGUAAGUAACUGUGCACAUCUUGACGGUACCUAAUCAGAAAGCCACGGCUAACUACGUG
rnacentral:rRNA from 1 species